rnacentral:lncRNA from 1 species
GGUUGGAGAAUUUUUAGCUCAAAGUUUAGAUACUUAAUUUUAAGGGUGAAGAGCUAGAACAACUAUGUCUUGAUGGGUUUAUUUAGACUUAUGCAGGUUCUAGCCUAUAACUUGAACUUCUUUGAAUUUCUUUUUGAAAUCUGAUAGAGACAUCUCCUUCAGAAUUUGUAAUGAUUGUAUCUAAUUUGCUUUGUUCUUUUCUGAUGGCUGG